UGCGGAGGAAAAGAAACCAACUGGGAUUACCUUAGUAACGGCGAGUGAAGCGGUAAAAGCUCAAAUUUGAAAUCUGGUACUUUCAGUGCCCGAGUUGUAAUUUGUAGAAUUUGUCUUUGAUUAGGUCCUUGUCUAUGUUCCUUGGAACAGGACGUCAUAGAGGGUGAGAAUCCCGUUUGGCGAGGAUACCUUUUCUCUGUAAGACUUUUUCGAAGAGUCGAGUUGUUUGGGAAUGCAGCUCAAAGUGGGUGGUAAAUUCCAUCUAAAGCUAAAUAUUGGCGAGAGACCGAUAGCGAACAAGUACAGUGAUGGAAAGAUGAAAAGAACUUUGAAAAGAGAGUGAAAAAGUACGUGAAAUUGUUGAAAGGGAAGGGCAUUUGAUCAGACAUGGUGUUUUUUGCAUGCACUCGCCUCUCGUGGGCUUGGGCCUCUCAAAAAUUUCACUGGGCCAACAUCAAUUCUGGCAGCAGGAUAAAUCAUUAAGAAUGUAGCUACUUCGGUAGUGUUAUAGCUUUUUGGAAUACUGUUAGCCGGGAUUGAGGACUGCGCUCGGCAA
rnacentral:rRNA from 1 species